UGCAGGACCUGGACCCACAUCCAGGCAGGCAGAGGCGGAAAAUUACCCACUUCCGGCGCGGAGAGGUAGUGACUAGUCAUAACAAAUAUAGACCCUAGUGGUUUGUAUUUGGACUGGUGAGAUGUUAUAAAUAUCUCAGGAAUCUAGAUCAGGGCAAGUCUGGUGCCAGCAGCCGCGGUAAUACCAGCCUGAUCAAGCGUAUGCUUUAGUUGCUGCGUUUAAAAAGCUCAUAGUUGGAUCUUCGAGAGCGUGAUCAUCAAAGGGCGUAGUUCGGUUACGGUCGUUCUAUUCCUGGUCACGGACUUUCAAUAUACUUGGAAGACAGUUUAUUCUUAACUGAAUAGACUGAUCGAAAACAAGUGAUAAACCUUGAAAAAAUUAGAGUGCUCAAAGCAAGCUUUGGCCUUGAACUUUAAAGCAUGGAAUUGAGGAAGAGGACCAUUAUGGUCGUGAACCAUUUUGGUAAUGAUUAAAAGGAACAGUCGGGGGCAUACGUAUUGCUCGGGGAGGGGUGAAAUCCGUAGAUCCCAGCAAGACGACCUACUGCGAAAGCAUUUGCCAAGAAUGUUUUCAUUAAUCAAGAACGAAAGUUAGAGUAUUAAAGAGGAUUAGAUACCCUCGUAAUUCUAACCUUAAACGAUACCAUCUUAAUCUUAGCCAAUGUAAUUUAUUACUUGGUUAGGAUUAAACCGGGAAACCAAAGCCAUUUGGUUCCGGGGGGAGUAUGGUUGCAAAAUCGAAACUUAAAGGAAUUGACGGAGGGGCACCACCAGGAGUGGAGCCUGCGGCUUAAUUUGACUCAACACGGGGAAACCUACCAGGUCCAGACAUCUUAAGGAUUGACAGAUAGAAUCUCUUUCAUGAUUAGAUGGGCGGUGGUGCAUGGCCCGUUCUUAGUUAGUGAGUGAUUCGUCUGGUUAAAUUCCGAUAACUAACGAGUUCUCUUCCAUCUAACUAGUAGAUGACACUUAUUUGUGUUGUCAAGACUUCUUAGACACUAAGUACAUUAAAUAGUACUAGGUGAGUGGAGAUUAUAACAGGUCUUGUGAUGCCCUUAGAUGUCCUGACCGCACGCGCCGCUACAUGGCGUGGCUUUAUGUGUGAUAACUUCUUCUAGCGGAUGCUUGGCAAUCGUAGGUUAAAGAUGUUCCCUUAGUGGAUCAAACCAUUAUUGGUUAACAUCUAUAUAAGGUUAAAGAGUUUG
rnacentral:rRNA from 1 species